rnacentral:tRNA from 1 species
GCUUCCAUAGCUCAACGGGAUAGAGCAGUCGCCUCCUAAGCGAUCGAUCUGGGUUCGAUUCCCUGUGGAAGCG